AAAAAAAGGAGGCACUGGCGUAAGUA
rnacentral:piRNA from 1 species